rnacentral:lncRNA from 1 species
ACAUUCACCACCGCGUGACGCGGCGCCGGGUCGCCGCCGCAGAUUCGACACAAAACCCGGAAGGACCCCGCCGAAGGUUUUCUCCGGUUCGGGAGAGAGACGGAGUCCCGCUCUGUCACGCAGGCUGCCAGGCUGGCGUACAGUGGCGCAAUCUCAGCUCGCUGCAACCUCCACCUCCUGGGUUCAAGCGAUUUUCUUGCCUCUGCCUCCUGAGUAGCUGGGAUUACUGGCACACACCACCAUGCACAGUUCCUUGUUCAAAAUGCCAAGAACCUGGAUGACUCAUAGUCAAGACCCUCCACCAGUAACAUAUAUUGGCGAGCCAGCCAGGAGCUUGGAACCCUCGGUGGACAGUGCCUAAGCACAGAGGCAACCACAGGUUUCUAACAGGGCCACUCUCUGGUGAAACUGAAAGGUUUCUGUGUGAAAGUGCCUGACCACCACUGCCCAAUUCAGACCACUACAGGAAACACUCCAUUUAUUCCACCUGACUUCCCACUUGGCUGCAUCCUCAACCAUUGAAAUGAAUUUGACCCUGAUAAUCUAAGGAGGAAACAUUUGAUAUUCUUUUGCAAUAAUACUUGGCCCCAGUAUUGUUUGGAAUCUGGAGUUUGCUGUUGAAUGGGAAAGCAGGAUGACGUUGCAUGUAUCCAGGCUUUGGUGCUGCUGUCCUAAGAAGGGUCAGGCCUAGUCAGCAUAUGGUGCUCUCCUUUGGUGCUAUUUGGCUCCAGUGUCUUUGGAGUCUGAGGAGGUUUGGCCUUUAAAAAUCAAACUGCCACCGGAACUGCUUUAAAAAUGUUUGGUUCACAGCCUUCACUGGAUUACCUAUUGGAGCAAACAAAGUGUAACCAUGUAAAACCUGUGAGCUUGUAUUGAUAUCUCAUGGCUAGAGUUCCAAGCGAAUGGGUCUCAUGAGAUCUGAUGGUUUUGAAAAUGGGAGUUGCCCUGCACAAGCUCUCCUUUUGCCUGCUGCCAUCCACAUAAGAUGUGAUUUGCUCUUCCUUGCCUUCCACCAUGAUUGUGAGGCCUUCCCAGCAUGUGGAAAUGGUCCAGCCUGCAAUAACUGAAGCCCCCAGACCUGGAACCUGAAGAUCCCAUCAGCCACUAAACCUGUGAACCUGUAGAAGACCUGAAGUACCUGUUUAAAAGGCAGCCAAAAGAUAAGUAAAUUCCUAUCAACUUUCCUUGGUGUCCUUCUUGUAUAUUUACUGUAAGCUGGAUAUAAUAGUAGCCAUUUUUAUAUUUUUACAAUUUAAUUGCUUUCUUCCAAAUGGAUUGAAUCACUUCUUUUAAAGUGUUUUAAUUAAUUUUUAUCUAUAGAACAAAAUAACAAAUAAGUAUUUUUUUUUUAUACCAUAAUGGUCACCCACAGCCUGUGUAUACUAAGACCAUGCAUACUGAUAAUCAGCUUUAUUUUACAAAAGAGUUUCGCUUUACCCCUCUGGUAAUUAAUGGAUUCUGGGUAUUUAUUAAAAACUUUAACACAAAGACUGUUAAAUACCACCAGUCCAGCUUUGGCAAGGCACUGUUGGCUUUGUUUAUCUCCAUCAUCAUCCAAACAGACUACCAAUCCUGAUCCCAGCCCAAUCUUGGGCCCUUGAAAAAAUAACUUAACAUCCUAACUACAAGGGAGAAACUCCUUUCAAAUUAAUGAACCUGGCUGACUUAUAUAGCCUUAAAAUUAUGGAAAUGACAAGGGUUACAAUGUCAGAAUGAGCAGUAAACCUUCCCCAGUCCUAUCAGAGCAAACUUUCUGGGGUUGCAUCCCCUCAGAAACCCAUUUGGGGCCCAAUCUCAAUGCACAUAUCAGUGCGCAAAGCACUAAAAUUCCAGGCAACACUUUGUAUUGAGAGAAGCCAAAAUUUUGGUCCCGCCCUGGGACAUCUAAAGUCACCAAUGUAACUACACCAUACAGAUUAAACCCUCACAUGAUCAUGUAAGCUAUGCAGUUACCCAAGCUGCAUCAUUUAGAAAACCUGUACAGUUUUUAUGGAAACCAUCCCUAGUCAAGGACACUUUAAAUAUAUAGUCUAAAUACCGUUAAGGUAGGCCCACUAGCUGUGUUCACAUUUUCCCUUGGCCACCUUACCAGGGACUUUAAUAACUUGGGAAAGUGAAAACAACAAGCUAACCCACAUGUUCACCAUAGAAAACAAUUUUGUCUUGAAAAACAAGGACUCUUUUUCCCGUGUGGGACCAGUUCCUACUUAUGUUUUACCAGCCAAUUGGACUGGAACCUAUACAGUUGUUUAUUUAGCCCCCGAAAUUAAUAUAGCUCCCAACAACCAAUCCUUCAUUAUACUUUUAACUGCAACCACCAGACACAAAUGAGCCAUCCAACUGAUACCACUUUCGGUAGAGCUAGGAAUAACAGCAGGAGUAGGAAUGAGAGUUAGCAGCCUUGCAGUUUCCCUAUCCUAUUACCAAUGCUUGUCCAAGGAUUUUAUGGAAAGCUUAGGUGACAUUGCCCAAAAGUAUCAUCACCUUACAAAAUCAGAUAGAGUCUUUGGCAGUGGUGGCUUUGUAAAAUAGAAGGGGACUGGAUCUCCUAAAUGCUGAAGAAGGUGGCUUAUGUCUUUUUCCUAGAGGAAGAAUGCUGUUUUUAUGUCAACCAAACAGGAUUAGUAAGGGAUGCCACCCAAAAACUAGCCGAUUGGUACCAUAAGAUAUGACAACAGCUGUCUGAGUCAUGGGGCGCCUAGUCAAAAUGCUAAUUUGGGGCUCACAUCUCCUUCCUCUGGCCAGUCCACUAUUAAUUAUUAUACUUGCCUUGGCUUUUGGAUCAUGUUUGUUAAAUCUUUUAACCAGAUUUAUUUCUUCUUGCCUAGAGACCAUUAUGAUAAUGCAGCAGGGCCACCAGUCAGUUUCAGAUAAUGAUGUCAACCCCGGCCACCAAGAAGUAACCUUGUCUCCACUAGACAGAGCAGGUUGCAGGAAUUUAGCCAAUUCAGAGGUCUUGUUCUCCAUAAUUUGGAAUUUUCCUUCGGAUUUGAUCAAGUUGGAUAGAGUUGGUCAAACCCAAUGGGAAAAAGAUGAAAACAACAAGAAACAGAAACAAACAGCAACAACAACAACAACAAAAACAAUGCAUUUAAUUAAAUGAAGAUGAGCUCAUGCUGGAGUAGGGUGGACUCUGAACCCAGUGGGACAAGCGUCCUUAUUAAGAAGAGGGAAAUCUGGACACACACAGAGCAGAGACCGCCGUGUGAAGAUGGAGGCAGAGAUCGGAGAGAUGCUGCCACACGCCACAAAUGCCUGGGGCUCCCAGAAACUACACGGAGCCUCCCCCAGCGGCUUCAGCAGGAGCAUGGCUCGGCCAACACUUUGAUCUUGGUCUUCCAGCCUCCAGAACGUUUUCCUAAAAUUCCCUUUUCCACUGGUGUGUGGUGCAAGAUGAGGCACAUUUUCCAUGGAUGGUGAACAGAGGGAGGAGCCUUUUGAUCACAACCAGGUCACCCCACUUCUAAGCCACUGUGCCUCCAGCCCCACAAGACUAAGGAGAGAGAGCGCAGCGUGGUGGAGAGUGAGCUGUGCUGGGACCAUUGUUUCCGUAACCUCGUUUUCUGUGUCCAGCUGACACACCUUCAAAGUGGCAUCAGGUCCUAAACUGUAGCUUGCAAUGUGCCUGUUUCCAGAAACCAAGGUGAAAGUGCUUUUAGACAGUGUUCCCAUGCAAGAGUCCCUUCCCAGCUUUUUUCUGGAAAUGCAUGUUUCUCUGAACUCUGAGUCCCAAGAAAAAUCACUUGAGACACCAAGAAAAUGGGGGAAGUGCUAAAAUUGUGUGGGAAUUCAAGCUUAACAAUAAACAUCAAGACAUUUUUGAUAAAAAUGAAUCCACUGACAUCGGGGAGGAGCAAGAGAACAGCACGCUGACACUGGGUCAGAGGCUAAGACCGACAUUUCUGGGAACCACUCCCGGAAGGGCACAGAGGAGACGCUUUCAGCCUCUCAUCAGCCAGCCUGGCCUGUAGCUGCUGCACGUUAUGAGUGUGUUCCUGGCAUGACUGCUUCUAACAACUGGGUCUCGCUUGUUGCCCAGGCUGUAGUGCACUGGUGCAAUCAUGGCUCACUGCAGCCUUGACCUCCUGGAUCAAGGUAUCCUCCCACCUCUCAGCCUCCCAAGCAGCUGGGACUAUGGGUGCAUGCCACCACACCCAGCUAAUUUUUGUAUUUAUGGAGAUAUGGGUCUCACCAUGUUACCCAGGCUGGUCUUGAACUUCUGGGCUCAAGCCUUCUGCCUGCCCUGGCCUUCCAAAGCAUUGGAAUUACAGGCCUGAGCCACUGUGCUAGGCCAGAGCCAACAGGACUUACUGAGAAAUUAUCUGAGAGAGAGGGGUCAAGGAAGACUCCCCCUGUUCAACCAAGCAACGAGGUGAAUGGUGCUGCUGCUUCCUGAGAUGGGGAAGACUGUAGAGGAAACAAACCAGGAACGACAAAUCAGUAAUUUAGCUUUGAAUACAUUAGGUUUGAGAUGGCUAGUCUGUACCCAAACAGACCACACUGUGGCAUCUGGGCAGCAGGAUCUGCAGAAUCCAGCAGGAUGGAUGCUGAUGCCAAGCUGAGUAGACAGUUGGGUCUGUGAGUCUAAAGCUCAGGGAAGACCUCAGGGUCUGGGAUACAAAUCUGGAGAUCAUCACCCUGUCCAUGAAAGCCAAGGGAAUGAUGGAAGAUACUAUGAGAAAAAGUGAAGAGAGGAAAGAGAAGAGGUCCAUGGAAGGAGACCUGGGAGAAUCCAACCUUCGAUUAGAUCAGGAAGAGGAGAAGAAUCCAGUAAAAAACUCUGAGAAGUCUCUGGGAAGGAAGUCUUCCUUCCUUCCCCUGUACCAGGAGAGGUGCUAUCCCAGAAAUUAGUAAAGAAACAGUUUUUGAUGGGGAGAACAGGAUCACCUUUGUCAACUGCUGCUGCGAGACUUGGAAAAAUAAGGACUGGGAAGAGAGCAAUAGAAACUUUGAAAGCCAUUGGUUAUCUUGAUAAGAGUUGUUUCUGUGGGGGUGGUGAGAACUGGAGCCUGACUGGAUGGGUUCAAGAGAGAAUGGGGAGUUCUAGCCAAGAAGGCUGAUGAGGAUGAGUCAAAUUAAAAAUGUUUUCUUUUUAUGAGUCCUCUCAUAUUUACUGAUACAACUGAUAUAUUGGGUCUCCAUUCUGCCACAUUACUUUAUAUUGAUCAUGUAUUGUAUCUGCUAUGCAAUUGUAUUGCAUGUAUCUGCAUGGCAAUUGUAUUGCCAUGCAAUGUAUUUUUUUUUACUUUAAAAAUUAUAUUUAUAAAGGUUUGUAA